rnacentral:lncRNA from 1 species
AAUAAAGAAAACUAAAAGGAGGGGUGAAGGGCAUCUUUGGACUGCUCCUCAGUUCCCGGUGUCAGACAAUCUGAAGGACUUUUAAAUGUUGCCUGCUCACUAACUCCUAGCCUGACACCCAGCUGUGUGUUGUAGUCUUGACACUGUGCGGGAAGCUUUGGUUGGGCAACACAUUAUCAAAGUUAAAAUCCAAGGUAUCUCCGUCCAUGAGGUCGGCGUACGACAGGUUGCCCCACGCGUUGCGGCGCGACGAACUGGUCUUGCGCGGCUGCCCAGCGAGUGGCCCCGCGGCGGCUGGAGGCACCGGUGGGGGCUGCGACAGCGGCCCGGUCGGUGGGGGC